UGACUCCACUGAGACGUGUUGCAUAGGCGUAGCGAAUCGAGCGAAGCUAGCCAAUCUAGCCGGAAGUGUAAAGAGCGCGCCCCUACAAGCUAGCGAACCUAGACCCCUAGCGUAGCAAAGCUAGCGGCCUUUGGAGGUCCUACGCUUGCUAUUCAAAAUGGCCGACAUUGUUGUCGCUUUCAAGUUUGCAGAUGAGAGUUUCUUUGAUACUCCCGUUAAAAAGGAGUAUUGGACCGGAUACAAAGUGAAACGAAUGUGGGAAAUCAAUGGACCAAGGGGGCAUACUUUUCCUCAUGGACACUUAUGCCGAACAUAAGGAACAAUUUGCAAUUCCAACUUGAAAAUAGAGGUAUGGAAGAGGAUUGCUUCAGAAAUGGCAGCCUCAGGAUGCCACUUUGCUCCAGCAGCACUUGAGAAAAAAAUGGAGCAAUAUGAAAAUAUGGUACAAAGCUAUAUUAGAUUUCAACAAGAAAACGGGCCAGGGAAGAUCACGAUGGAAUUUCUAUUCCAGAAUGGCUGAAAUCUUGGAAGGAGACCCUUCGUUCAUCCCACCACUGACAUCAUCAUCACUGGGGAGUGUAAAAGUAAACACUCUCUCCGAGAUCUCCAAUACCCAGCAAUGUGCCACCCCUACAAAGAAGCAAGA